AGGACGAACGCGUGGCGGCGUGCUUAACACAUGCAAGUCGAACGAGGUUAUGGAAGAGCUGCUCGGAAGUAAACCGAGUGGCGGACGGGUGAGUAACGCGUGAGGAACCUGUCUCACACAGGGGAAUAACGCAUCGAAAGAUGUGCUAAUACCGCAUGGGACCACGACGGGGCAUCCCGUUGAGGUGAAAGGAGGAAUCCGGUGUGAGGUGGACUCGCGUCUGAUUAGAUAGUUGGUGAGGUAACGGCCCACCAAGUCAACGAUCAGUAGCCGACCUGAGAGGGUGAUCGGCCACAUUGGGACUGAGACACGGCCCAGACUCCUACGGGAGGCAGCAGUGGGGAAUAUUGGGCAAUGGGGCCGCAAGCCUGACCCAGCAACGCCGCGUGAAGGAAGAAGGUUUUCGGAUCGUAAACUUCUGUCCUUGGUGAAGAUAAUGACGGUAGCCAAGGAGGAAGCCCCGGCUAACUACGUGCCAGCCGCCGC
rnacentral:rRNA from 1 species